GGUUUAAAUCCCAUCAGAAGCAGGGGCAUUUGUAGUCUAAUCCAGUAGCACUUCAUUCACAUAAAAUUGUACAUUUUAUGUUUUAUAAUAACAUUUUAUAACUUUGUCAAUAAAAAAAGCGCCUAGUGAAGCCUUUACGUGCUAAAACAGAGACAGAAAUUCUGCAAUGUACAGUUUUUAAUGCAACACAACCCACAAAAAAAAGUGUUUCCAUUCGGCACUAAACACACACUUGAUGAUCAGCUUGAGAUCUAGCCGAAUAAAACGCAUAACAGAGCAGUAAUGGCGGGAUUUAGCUCGGCGACAGCACCGUGUGAAUUUUGUCUAGCACGUGAACGGUGCAUACGGGCGCGUGCAGCAGCGCAGGUGUUUGUACCGUAGUGGGACGAAGCCGCGCGCACCACACUGCGCCUUUUGGCAGACUUGUAUUGCAAGUCAUCAAUAUAAUCAGCAAAAUGUGUGAAGGGGGAAACGUGGAAGCAAAAAUAUAUAUUUUUAAGAUACUAUUUUGCACCAAUGCUUAAUAGGAUCGGACACAGAGGAGGAGCAGGGACAAAGCGGGACAAUUAGCCGAUUUCUGCAAUGCAUCUGUUUAAACCUUUUGCUUGCCUGGUGCGAGUCGGUGGCGUUCCGUUCCCUCGCCGCUCAGUCCCUUUACACAUCCUCCGGCGUCACUGCGUGUGUGCGCCGCAGCCAAGGUGGAUGUUGCCUGUAUCUCCGCUGCCCACCCAGCCAAUAGGAGUGCGGUUAAAGGAGGGUCUUGAGUGGAUGUCAUGAUGAUACACCACUGCAGGCUCCGGUUCUUCUGCUGCUGUCUCGAUAUCCGGCAACUGGAAGGUCAUCAGUUGAGAAGCUUUCUCAAAACCACCAAAGGGCAUUGCUGACCUAAAGGGGGGAGAAUAGAAAUGCGGCCUCUGCCAGCGGUGAGCGACUGGAGCCGGACGGAAUGAGCGGUAAGAAACACCUGUAGCUGAUGAGACUAAUUACGGCAAUAAAGGGGAGAGAGACCCCAGCCUCAGGAAGGGAACCACCAAGCAGAGAAGAGCGAAAGGAUCGCUGGUAAGAGAUGUGAUGGCCGGUGAGUGCACUAGGGCGGACGCCAGGGAAAGGCGUGCCGGACCGCGAGGAACACUCGGGCGGGCAUUAGAAAAAGAAAGCGUGGCGAUCAGGGAAUGAGAUGGGCAUAUGCCAGAGGAAGGUGGGCCAACCCGAACUGUGGGUGAGCCCCGGCGUGAGUACUGGAUAGGAAAGCACCGGGGUGAAAACCUAAAGUAAAGAAAGAAAGCUCUGCUUGGUGAACAUUUGCCUGUCUCUCUUUCUUCCAGCAUGGAACCAGUGGAAUUUGUUACAGUAGUGCCGAAACCCUGUGCUGGAAGAGGGGUAUGAUGCCAAGGGGGACUCCACCGUGGAGAGAGCGGGAUCAGGCCAAGGAGGAGUGUUGCCGCCACCUGCGACCUGUGCGGCGAGAUGGGACCCGCGGUAAAAACUGGCACUUCAUCGUCUGCCGCGCCUCUCCAGGGAAGUCCAGAUGGUAGUGUGCCCAGGGACAUGCAGCUUUUCUCCCGUCCUCCCUCUCCUUCUCUACUGACCUUCCAAAGGAGGAAACUCGGGUGGGCACUAGAAAGUAAAAGCGUGCUGAUCCGCGAGUGUGAUGCCGGAGGACGGUGCGCCAAUCCGCAAAUUUGCCGCCGGCGGACUUUAAGAUGGGAAAACAAAAAAAUAAAUAAAAGCUCUGCUUGGUCAAUAGAUCUUGGUCUUUCUACCGGUGCGGAGCCAGUGAGAUUUGUUACAGUAGCUUAUUCAAUGAAAAUAUCACACUUUGCUGAUUUUAGAAUUCAGGGAUUAAUUCUAUUUUGUUACUGACUGGGAGAUUUUACCUAAAGGUUCACUAGGUACAGACCAAAAACUGUUUGAUUUGGGAACACGGAAAUGAGUCAUGUAGAAGCUGAAGGAAUCAGUUUUUGUCAAAUUAUCUAGCUCAUAUAAAAUCAAGCUGACACUUCCAUCUCUAUUAUGCCUUAUUGUGUCAAAUGUUUUAGCGCCCCUACUUGUAUAACGAGAUAUUUUCCCACAAAUAAAGAUUUGCCUUCAUAUUAAAUGAAGAGCUCAAAGUCUUUGUCAAUCAUGACUUGUCUUGGUGAAAAUAAUCUUUUUUGAAAUCUUGUUUAUAAAAGGUUUUAUCAGUAGCAAUUUUAAGAGUGUAGCAAUCAGUGUGAGUGGCAGAUAGGUAGC